rnacentral:tRNA from 2 species
AGUUAAUGAACUUGUAUAAGUAUUUAUUUUGAAAAUAAAAAAAAGAAAUAAUAUUUUCUAUUAACUU